rnacentral:misc_RNA from 1 species
GAUGAAGGAACGUAGCAAAAUGCGAUACUUGGUGUGAAUUGCAGAAUCCCGUGAACCAUCGAGUUUUUGAACGCAAGUUGCGCCCGAAGCCUUUUGGCCGAGGGCACGUCUGCCUGGGCGUCACGCAUCGCGUCGCCCCCCACAAUUCUCCGUAAAGGGAACGUGUGUUUUGGGGGCGGAUAUUGGUCUCCCGUGCUCAUGGCGUGGUUGGCCGAAAUAGGAGUCCUUUCGAUGGACGCACGAACUAGUGGUGGUCGUAAAAACCCUCGUCUUUUGUUUCGUGCUGUUGCUCGCAAGGUAAACUCUUUAAAAACCCCAAUGUAUCGUCUCUUGACGACGCUUCGACCGCGACCCCAGGUCAGGCGGGACUACCCGCUGAGUUUAAGCAUAUCAAUAAGCGGAGGA